AAAUCGUAAGCAUCCACUGGGAGUACGCGGCAACGGUGAACUCAUAGGAUGACGGGGGCCCGCACAAGCGGAGGAACAUGUGGUUUAACUCGAUGAUACGCGAGGAACCUUACCCGGGCUUGAACUGCCAGCGAACGAUUCAGAGAUGAUGAGGCCCUUCGGGGCGCUGGUGGAGGUGCUGCAUGGUGUCGUCAGCUCGUGCCGUGAGGUGUCGGCUUAAGUGCCAUAACGAGCGCAACCCUUUUCUUUAGUUGCCAUCAGGUAAUGCUGGGCACUCUGGAGAUACUGCCACCGUAAGGUGUGAGGAAGGUGGGGAUGACGUCAAAUCAGCACGGCCCUUACGUCCGGGGCUACACACGUGUUACAAUGGGGGGUACAGAGAGUCGGAUAUACGCAAGUAUGUUCUAAUCCUUAAAGCCUUCCUCAGUUCGGAUUGGGGUCUGCAACCCGACCCCAUGAAGCUGGAUUCGCUAGUAAUCGCGCAUCAGCCAUGGCGCGGUGAAUACGUUCCCGGGCCUUGUACACACCGCCCGUCAAGCCAUGAAAGCCGGGGGCGCUUGAAGUCCGUGACCGCAAGGAUCGGCCUAGAGCGAAACUGGUAAUGGGGCUAAGUCGUAACAAGGUAACCUA
rnacentral:rRNA from 1 species